UGGGGAAUAUUGGGGCAAUGGGGCGAAAGCCUGACCCAGCAACGCCGCGUGAAGGAAGAAGGUCUUCGGAUUGUAAACUUCUUUUAUGAGGGACGAAGGACGUGACGGUACCUCAUGAAUAAGCCACGGCUAACUACGUGCCAGCAGCCGCGGUAAUACGUAGGUGGCAAGCGUUAUCCGGAUUUACUGGGUGUAAAGGGCGCGUAGGCGGGGAUGCAAGUCAGAUGUGAAAUCUAUGGGCUUAACCCAUAAACUGCAUUUGAAACUGUAUCUCUUGAGUGCUGGAGAGGUAGACGGAAUUCCUAGUGUAGCAGUGAAAUGCAUAGAUAUUAGGAGGAACACCGGUGGCGAAGGCGGAUUUCUGGGCCUUUACUGACGCUAAAGUGCGAAAGCUAGGGGAGCAAACGGGAUUAGAUACCCUGGUAGU
rnacentral:rRNA from 1 species